rnacentral:rRNA from 1 species
GGCCAGACUCCUACGGGAGGCAGCAGUGGGGAAUAUUGCACAAUGGGGGGAACCCUGAUGCAGCGACGCCGCGUGGGUGAAGAAGCGCCUCGGCGCGUAAAGCCCUGUCAGCAGGGAAGAAAAUGACGGUACCUGAAGAAGAAGCCCCGGCUAACUACGUGCCAGCAGCCGCGGUAAUACGUAGGGGGCAAGCGUUAUCCGGAUUUACUGGGUGUAAAGGGGGCGCAGACGGCGAUGCAAGCCAGGAGUGAAAGCCCGGGGCCCAACCCCGGGACUGCUCUUGGAACUGCGUGGCUGGAGUGCAGGAGGGGCAGGCGGAAUUCCUGGUGUAGCGGUGAAAUGCGUAGAUAUCAGGAGGAACACCGGUGGCGAAGGCGGCCUGCUGGACUGCAACUGACGUUGAGGCCCGAAGGCGUGGGGAGCAAACAGGAUUAGAUACCCCAGUA